GUCUCAGGCCGUAUCAGCCUGAAGGCGCCGAUCUCGUCUGAUCUCGGAAGCUAAAGCAGGGUCGGGCCUGGUUAGGAUCUUGGA
rnacentral:rRNA from 1 species